UGAGAGGUCCAGGCGGCCGCUCCGGCACGUUCUUCACAGAGCGCGUCCGGGGAGGAAAGUCCGGACUCCACGGGUCGAGGUGGUUGUCAACGGCAACCGGUCGCGAGGCCAGGGAAAGUGCCACAGAAAACAAACCGCCGCCGUCUUCGGACGUCGGUAAGGGUGAAACGGUGCGGUAAGAGCGCACCGCGCCGCGGGUGACCGCGGUGGCAGGGCAAACCCCACCUGGAGAAAGACCAAAUAGGGAUGGUCGAGGCUGGCAACAGCCUCCGGCGUGACCCGAGCCGAGAGCCAUCCGGGUAGGUCGUUCGAGGCCGGCCGCGAGGUCGGUCCCAGAGAAAUGGUCGCCACGCCUCCCGCAAGGGGGGCGCCACAGGAUCCGGCUUACAGGACCUCUCACGCU
rnacentral:RNase_P_RNA from 1 species